rnacentral:rRNA from 1 species
UACAGAGGGUGCGAGCGUUAAUCGGAAUUACUGGGCGUAAAGCGUGUGCAGGCGGUUCGUGAAGUCCGAUGUGAAAGCCCUGGGCUCAACCCGGGAAUGGCAUUGGAAACUGGCGGGCUAGAGUGUGGCAGAGGGGGGUGGAAUUCCUGGUGUAGCAGUGAAAUGCGCAGAUAUCAGGAAGAACACCCGUGGCUAAGGCGGUUCUCUAGUACGGUACUGACGCUGAGACGCGAAAGCGUGGGGAGCGAACAGG